AUGGGGAGAAAUACUUACAGGAAAGCUGAGUUUAUCCUUUUUGGCAUGCUAAUGUUUAUUUUUAUUGUAUUUCUGCUUACCAGAUUUCCUAGUGGUAAUUAUUUCCCAUUGACUCGGACCAAAGGACGGUGUGGACACCUAACAAAUAGUGUGCGGCUGAUAUGGAGAAUAUGUCAAGUCAACUGGAUGAGUCAGCACGGGCAACAUAAACUGUGUCCUGCUUUCAAAAGAGAUGUGAAGCCAUUCUGGAACUUGAGAUGUGAGUGAUUCCAAGAAGAAGAAACCAGAAACUGCCUCUGCUGUGAUCAUUACAAAUCACUCAUGAAUUAAUGCUCUGAGAUACUUAACCCCUAUAUGACUUCAGCUGUUGUUCAAGCAUUAAUUCUGCUAGUGCACUGAUUACUUUAGUCACAGUUUGCAGAGAGCAUAUUGAAGCCCUAAGUUUAACUGAUUUAGUGAAGGCUGUAUAUUAGACAAUGCCAGAGUUCACAUUACAUCCUAGGAGUUCCUGAUUCUUACACUUAGACUCUUACAGUACUGGGGAAAAAAAAAAAAAAAAAAAAGGACUACCAACUGAACAGUCCUCUGGGAGAAUGAGUUGAUUAUAAUUCAAUAUUGACCAUUUUGAGUAAAUACUGAAUGGAAUAGGGAUAUGACAAGAUCUUUUUUCCCUGUUGGCACCAUAGAUGUUAAUAAAGAUGUUGGCACUGGUAUCA
rnacentral:lncRNA from 1 species